GACGAACGCUGGCGGCGUGCUUAACACGUGCAAGUCGAACGGAAAGGCCCUGCUUGCAGGGUACUCGAGUGGCGAACGGGUGGGUAACACGUGGGUGAUCUGCCCUGCACUUCGGGAUAAGCCUGGGAAACUGGGUCUAAUACCGGAUAGGAGCCAUUUUUAGUGUGAUGGUUGGAAAGUUUUUUCGGUGUAGGAUGAGCUCGCGGCCUAUCAGCUUGUUGGUGGGGUAAUGGCCUACCAAGGCGGCGACGGGUAGCCGGCCUGAGAGGGUGGACGGCCACAUUGGGACUGAGAUACGGCCCAGACUCCUACGGGAGGCAGCAGUGGGGAAUAUUGCACAAUGGGCGCAAGCCUGAUGCAGCGACGCCGCGUGGGGGAUGACGGCCUUCGGGUUGUAAACUCCCUUCGCUAGGGACGAAGCUUUUUGUGACGGUACCUAGAUAAGAAGCACCGGCUAACUACGUG
rnacentral:rRNA from 1 species